rnacentral:rRNA from 1 species
GGGGNGCUUACCAUGCAAGUCGAACGAUGAACCUCCUUCGGGAGGGGAUUAGUGGCGAACGGGUGAGUAACACGUGGGCAAUCUGCCCUGCACUCUGGGACAAGCCCUGGAAACGGGGUCUAAUACCGGAUAUGAGCCUGGGAGGCAUCUCCCGGGUUGUAAAGCUCCGGCGGUGCAGGAUGAGCCCGCGGCCUAUCAGCUUGUUGGUGAGGUAACGGCUCACCAAGGCGACGACGGGUAGCCGGCCUGAGAGGGCGACCGGCCACACUGGGACUGAGACACGGCCCAGACUCCUACGGGAGGCAGCAGUGGGGAAUAUUGCACAAUGGGCGCAAGCCUGAUGCAGCGACGCCGCGUGAGGGAUGACGGCCUUCGGGUUGUAAACCUCUUUCAGCAGGGAAGAAGCGAAAGUGACGGUACCUGCAGAAGAAGCGCCGGCUAACUACGUGCCAGCAGCCGCGGUAAUACGUAGGGCGCAAGCGUUGUCCGGGAAUUAUUGGGCGUAAAGAGCUCGUAGGCGGCUUGUCACGUCGGAUGUGAAAGCCCGGGGCUUAACCCCGGGUCUGCAUUCGAUACGGGCAGGCUAGAGUUCGGUAGGGGAGAUCGGAAUUCCUGGUGUAGCGGUGAAAUGCGCAGAUAUCAGGAGGAACACCGGUGGCGAAGGCGGAUCUCUGGGCCGAUACUGACGCUGAGGAGCGAAAGCGUGGGGAGCGAACAGGAUUAGAUACCCUGGUAGUCCACGCCGUAAACGGUGGGCACUAGGUGUGGGCAACAUUCCACGUUGUCCGUGCCGCAGCUAACGCAUUAAGUGCCCCGCCUGGGGAGUACGGCCGCAAGGCUAAAACUCAAAGGAAUUGACGGGGGCCCGCACAAGCGGCGGAGCAUGUGGCUUAAUUCGACGCAACGCGAAGAACCUUACCAAGGCUUGACAUACACCGGAAACGUCCAGAGAUGGGCGCCCCCUUGUGGUCGGUGUACAGGUGGUGCAUGGGCUGUCGUCAGCUCGUGUCGUGAGAUGUUGGGUUAAGUCCCGCAACGAGCGCAACCCUUGUCCCGUGUUGCCAGCAGGCCCUUGUGGUGCUGGGGACUCACGGGAGACCGCCGGGGUCAACUCGGAGGAAGGUGGGGACGACGUCAAGUCAUCAUGCCCCUUAUGUCUUGGGCUGCACACGUGCUACAAUGGCCGGUACAAAGAGCUGCGAUACCGCGAGGUGGAGCGAAUCUCAAAAAGCCGGUCUCAGUUCGGAUUGGGGUCUGCAACUCGACCCCAUGAAGUCGGAGUCGCUAGUAAUCGCAGAUCAGCAUUGCUGCGGUGAAUACGUUCCCGGGCCUUGUACACACCGCCCGUCACGUCACGAAAGUCGGUAACACCCGAAGCCGGUGGCCCAACCCCUUGUGGGAGGGAGCUUCGAA